UACGUAGGGUGCGAGCGUUAAUCGGAAUUACUGGGCGUAAAGCGUGCGCAGGCGGUUCGUUGUGUCGGCGGUGAAAGCCCCGGGCUCAACCUGGGAAUGGCCGUUGAAACUGGCGAACUGGAGUGUGGCAGAGGGGGGGGUGGAAUUCCGCGUGUAGCAGUGAAAUGCGUAGAGAUGCGGAGGAACACCGAUGGCGAAGGCAGCCCCCUGGGAUAACACUGACGCUCAUGCACGAAAGCGUGGGAGCAAACAGG
rnacentral:rRNA from 1 species